rnacentral:rRNA from 1 species
CCACUGGGCGUUGCCCAGUAGCGGCGAGUGAGCGGCAAAAGCUCAGAUUUGGAAUCGCUUCGGCGAGUUGUGAAUUGCAGGUUGGCGCCUCUGCGGCGGCGGCGGUCCAAGUCCCUUGGAACAGGGCGCCAUUGAGGGUGAGAGCCCCGUGGGACCGUUUGCCUACGCUCUGAGGCCCUUCUGACGAGUCGAGUUGUUUGGGAAUGCAGCUCUAAGCGGGUGGUAAAUUCCAUCUAAGGCUAAAUACUGGCGAGAGACCGAUAGCGAACAAGUACUGUGAAGGAAAGAUGAAAAGCACUUUGAAAAGAGAGUGAAACAGCACGUGAAAUUGUUGAAAGGGAAGGGUAUUGCGCCCGACAUGGAGCGUGCGCACCGCUGCCCCUCGUGGGCGGCGCUCUGGGCGUGCUCUGGGCCAGCAUCGGUUUUUGCCGCGGGAGAAGGGCGGCGGGCAUGUAGCUCUUCGGAGUGUUAUAGCCUGCCGCCGGCGCCGCGAGCGGGGACCGAGGACUGCGACUUUUGUCUCGGAUGCUGGCACAACGGCGCAACACCGCCCGUCUUGAACCACCGGACCAAGGGGGGGAAGGGGGGGGGGGGGU